ACAUAAAUCAUGAAUAACAUCAAAUAUAAAAAAAUAGAUAAAUAUUUUUAAGAAAAAUCAAAAGUGCACCAACAUUAGAGCAUUCCCCGUGAAAACUCAAGAUUGAGUUUGAGUGCUAACCCAAAGAGGAGAAAUUAUUUUGGAUCUUUUGUUUAUUAACAUGGAUCUGUUUGUUUUUAGAAUUAUGUACAUCUAUUAAUUUUUACUUGUUUUCCUAUUUUCACAGCUAAUAAUAAGGUUAAGAUUGGAAUUAAUGGUAAGAAUCUGUUCAAACUUCAAAAUCAAGUGAAAUGGAGUAUAUAGCUUUAAAUUGUUGCUUUGGAUGAACGAUUUGGAAGAAUUGGCCGAUCAGUGCUACGGAAAGUGAUCAUUUUGAAGUUGUCGCAGUUAACGAUCCCUUCAUCACCAUGGAUUAUAUGACGAAUUUGCUCGAGAAUGAUAGUGAGCACGGCCGGUGGAAGCUUCCUGACCUCAAGGUUAAGGAUGAGAAGACCAUUUUCUACCGUGAUAAGGCUGUUACUGUUACCGGCAUUAGGAGCUCAGAGGGGAUUCCAUGGGCAGAGAGUAAAUCUGAUUACGUUGUGGACACGAUUGGUGUCUCCUCUGAUAAGGACAAAGAUGCUGCUCAUUCGAAGGACGGUGACAACAAAGUUGUCAUUUCUGCCCUUGGCAAGGAUGUUCAUCUGUUUGUUGAGGGUAUCAGGACCACAGGGAACUCCAUCACAGCCGCUCAGAGGACUGUCAAUGGACCAUCAGUCGACGAUUGGAUAGUCAGAAGAGAUGCUUCAUUCAACAUUAUUCCCACCAAUAUCGGAACUGCCAAGGCUGUUUGUAUAAAGUGCUACGUAAAUGUGAACGGAUGGAGUACAUCAAGGCUGCCAUGAAUGUUUGCGUGGCUCUCGUUUUUAUUUAUUAAAGGAAGGAGACUGAAGCGGAAUUGAAGGAAAUUCUAGGUUUCCGUAAAGAUGAUUUAUUUAUGCAGUCAAUGGUAUUGCUUUGGACGGGAAAUUUGCCAUGAUCGCUGCAUGGUACGACAACGAAUGGGGUUACAGCAACCGAGUUUUGGACUUGAUUUUGAAAAUGUCAUCACACUUCAGUAAAGAUGGUAGUUCAGUUGUUGGUGGCGCUGUCGGUGAUGAUCCUUUUGAGAAGAUAAAAUACUAGUUCUGAAUGGAGUCUGUCACGCUGUGUUUUCAUGUUUCUCGGACAAUGCUCCUCGUUUAAAAUAACAAAUAAAUCUCCACCUUUUUUACUAUGACACGUAGCUUCCAUCCAAAUGGGAAAUUUGGGAAAGUGGAGAGAAAAAGUAAUGGAGAGGAGCCCCGACCAUGUUUCUCAAUUUGGUCAGGAUGUAUCUUAAGUAGUGAUCCUGAAUUGAACUGUCUACUGUGUUUUUGGGGCUUUUACAGAUAAAAUCUGAACUCUUCUAUUUAUGAGCCCAGAAGUUUGUAAUAAGAUUUGGGCCGAGCCCAUUUUCAAAGUCCAUUUUGGGGAUGGAUACUAAGGUGGAAUAUUCUUGCACAAUUUUCACAAAUAACAUUACUAUUAUUA